CCUACGGGUGGCAGCAGUGGGGAAUAUUGGACAAUGGGGGGAACCCUGAUCCAGCGACGCCGCGUGAGUGAAGAAGUAUUUCGGUAUGUAAAGCUCUAUCAGCAGGGAAGAAAAAAGACGGUACCUGACUAAUAAGCCCCGGCUAACUCCGUGCCAGCAGCCGAGGUAAUACGUAGGGGGCAAGCUUUAUCCGGAUUUACUGGGGUUAAAGGGAGCGUGGUGGGCGCGGCAAGUCUGAAGUGAAAGGCAGGGGCUUAACCCCUGAACUGCUUUGGAAACUGCCAUUCUAGAGUGCUGGAGAGGUAAGUGGAAUUCCUAGUGUAGCGGUGAAAUGCGUAGAUAUUAGGAGGAACACCAGUGGCGAAGGCGGCUUACUGGACAGUAACUGACGUUGAGGCUCGAAAGCGUGGGGAGCAAACAUGAUUAGAUACCCUAGUAGUC
rnacentral:rRNA from 1 species